rnacentral:rRNA from 1 species
CGCAGCCGCGGUAAUUCCAGCUCCAAUAGCGUAUAUUAAAGUUGUUGCAGUUAAAAAGCUCGUAGUUGAAUUUCGGGGUUAGUAGGUUGGUCAUGCCUCUGGUAUGUGCUGGUCUCACUGAUUCCUCCUUCCUGAUGAGCCUUAAUGCCAUUAAUUUGGUGUUUUGGGGAAUUUGGACUGUUACUUUGAAAAAAUUAGAGUGUUUAAAGCAAGCUAACGCUUGAAUACAUUAGCAUGGAAUAAUGAAAUAGGACGUUCGAUCCUAUUUUGUUGGUUUCUAGGAUUGACGUAAUGAUUAAUAGGGAUAGUUGGGGGCAUUAGUAUUCAAUUGUCAGAGGUGAAAUUCUUGGAUUUAUUGAAGACUAACUACUGCGAAAGCAUUUGCCAAGGAUGUUUUCAUUAAUCAAGAACGAAAGUUAGGGGAUCGAAGACGAUCAGAUACCGUCGUAG